rnacentral:rRNA from 1 species
AAGGUAGCAUAAUCAUUUGCCUUUUAAUUGAAGGCUAGUAUGAAAGGACACACAAGAAUAAAGCUGUCUCAUGUGGGCACACAUAAACUAAUAUUUAGGUGCAGAAGCCUAAAUCCAUAUAAAGGACAAGAAGACCCUAUAGAGCUUCACUGAUAAAAGCCAUUACACUUCACUCUCAGUUUGGUUGGGACAACCAAAAGACAAAAAAACCUCUUCUUUUAUUCAACCACCACCCCACCCAUCAAUGAAUUAGAAUACUAGCUACCUUAGGGAUAACAGGCUAAUCCUACUAAAGAGAUCACAUUGACAGUAGGGGUUGGCACCUCGAUGUUGGCUUAGUGUAACCGUCAGGCGCAGCCGCUUGAUAGAGUUGGUUUGUUCAACCAUUAAAUCACUACGUGAUCUGAGUUCAGACCGGA